GAAAUGCUGCCACCUAGCAAUAAAUAGAAAAAACAAGACCAGACAAAGAAAAGACUUACACGGAAGUGACGGAAAAACAAACGAACAACAAGUAAACACUAACAUGGCGGCGAGGUGUGAAGUGUCUGCGGGAUUCUUGAGAUUUGUCGUGCUACCAGACUCACUUGUGAGUUGUGACUUAUUAUCCUAGCACCGAACAACUCCAAAGGUGUUAUUUUCUCCAGUCUUUCAGUUACAAGGCCUAGAAAAGCGUCAAGUGCAACAUGUGAUUAGCAGCAAGAGUUGGAAUGAAGAGGAAUUGGCCUACAAGUAAAUACGCUUUGAAGCCAUUCAUUUUCUUCUCUUGGUACAGAAUUGAUUCAUAAAAUGACUUAAGAAAGGCUGUGCAAAGUCUUAGCUCUUUGUCCAUGUUCACGGUUCUUAUCGUGUGGCCCGAGUUUGAGCAAUCCUUUUUGUUGUGUGCUGUAGUAUGAGAAAACAGGAAAGAUAGAUAACUGUAAUUAAAAUGUACCACUAAUGUUCACAAAUCCCUUUAAAAUUUAGUUGAACACCCUGACGACAAGGAUGUUUGAGGGGGGGAGUUUGAGGGGCUCACAAAUGACAUGACUUUUGCACUGAAGCAUGCAUCCUAUUGAAAAUUAGACUUUAGUGGACGUAGAUGACCGAGUGGUCAACGCGUCGAGAAUUUGAGAAUUAGCGGCUAAUUUGUUGUUGAUUUCAAGGUGAAUAUGGCGUGUAUAUCGUUUCUGACGGUUCUUCACGCCCAUAUCGCUUCAAAAUCAAGGCGCCAGGUUUCGCCCAUCUGGCUGCGUUGGAGAAAGUCGGCCGCAACCAUGCUCGCCGAUAUUGUUGCCGUCAUUGGUACACUGGAUGUGGUUUUUGGAGAAAUUGAUCGCUGAAUGUGUUCCACGCCCUCUUGAUCUCCACACCGGUGACUUGAAAAACUGGAAAUGGAGUUGUAUAUGUAAAGCCGAGUUGAAUUAGGUGAUUAUAUAAUACACAUACAGUGGUUGAAAUG